rnacentral:rRNA from 1 species
AUUGAACGCUGGCGGCAUGCUUUACACAUGCAAGUCGAACGGCAGCGCGGGCUUCGGCCUGGCGGCGAGUGGCGAACGGGUGAGUAAUACAUCGGAACGUGCCCGGUAGGGGGGGAUAGCUCGGCGAAAGCCGGAUUAAUACCGCAUACGACCGGGGGGGGAAAGCGGGGGAUCUUCGGACCUCGCGCUAUUGGAGCGGCCGAUGGCAGAUUAGCUAGUUGGUGGGGUAAAGGCCUACCAAGGCGACGAUCUGUAGCUGGUCUGAGAGGACGACCAGCCACACUGGGACUGAGACACGGCCCAGACUCCUACGGGAGGCAGCAGUGGGGAAUUUUGGACAAUGGGCGAAAGCCUGAUCCAGCAAUGCCGCGUGUGUGAUGAAGGCCUUCGGGUUGUAAAGCACUUUUGGCGGGAACGAAAAGGACUGUGCCAAUACCACGGUUCGAUGACGGUACCCGCAGAAUAAGCACCGGCUAACUACGUG